rnacentral:rRNA from 1 species
GACGAACGCUGGCGGCGUGCUUAACACAUGCAAGUCGAACGGAAAGGCCCUGCUUUUGUGGGGUGCUCGAGUGGCGAACGGGUGAGUAAAACGUGAGUAACCUGCCCUUGACUUUGGGAUAACUUCAGGAAAAUGGGGCUCAUACCGGAUAGGAGCUCCUGCUGCAUGGUGGGGGUUGGAAAGUUUCGGCGGUUGGGGAUGGAUUCGCGGCUUAUCAGCUUGUUGGUGGGGUAGUGGCUUACCAAGGCUUUGACGGGUAGCCGGCCUGAGAGGGUGACCGGCCACAAUGGGACUGAGAUACGGCGCAGACGCCUACGGGAGGCAGCAGUGGGGAGUAUUGCACAAUGGGCGGGAGCCUGAGGCGGCAACGCCGCGUGCGGGAUGACGGCCUUCGGGUUAUAAACCGCUUUCGCCUGUGACGAAGCGUGAGUGACGGUAAUGGGUAAAGAAGCACCGGCUAACUACGAG